GAUGAACGCUGGCGGCGUGCCUAAUACAUGCAAGUCGAGCGAACGGACGAGAAGCUUGCUUCUCUGACGUUAGCGGCGGACGGGUGAGUAACACGUGGAUAACCUACCUAUAAGACUGGGAUAACUUCGGGAAACCGGAGCUAAUACCGGAUAAUAUUUUGAACCGCAUGGUUCAAUAGUGAAAGACGGUCUUGCUGUCACUUAUAGAUGGAUCCGCGCUGCAUUAGCUAGUUGGUAAGGUAACGGCUUACCAAGGCAACGAUGCGUAGCCGACCUGAGAGGGUGAUCGGCCACACUGGAACUGAGACACGGUCCAGACUCCUACGGGAGGCAGCAGUAGGGAAUCUUCCGCAAUGGGCGAAAGCCUGACGGAGCAACGCCGCGUGAGUGAUGAAGGUCUUCGGAUCGUAAAACUCUGUUAUUAGGGAAGAACAUAUGUGUAAGUAACUGUGCACAUCUUGACGGUACCUAAUCAGAAAGCCACGGCUAACUACGUG
rnacentral:rRNA from 1 species